UACAAUAAUUUCACUAAUUUACCAAAACCCUUAUCUCGUACUGAGUGACUUCAUAACAAUAUGAAAAACCAUAUGCUAGAACUAGUAACAAGAAGAAGACCUUCUCCAAAAUGUAUGUAUAAGCCAAAAUGAACAAAUCAUCGGCACUUAUCGUCUAUGAGCCAAUAGUAGUAACUCAACAAGAAAAACCUACUACCCAUAACGUUAACCUAACACCAGAACAUUUCAGGAAAGAUUAAAAGAAAGGGAAGGAACUCGGCAAAUAAUAACCUCGCCUGUUUACCAAAAACAUCGCCUCCUGAACCCACCAUAGGAGGUCCAGCCUGCCCAGUGACUAAGUUAAACGGCCGCGGUACCCUAACCGUGCAAAGGUAGCGCAAUCACUUGUUCUUUAAAUGAGGACUAGUAUGAAUGGCAUCACGAGGGUUAUACUGUCUCCCCCAUCUAAUCAGUGAAACUGACCUUCCCGUGAAGAAGCGGGAAUGAAAAUAUAAGACGAGAAGACCCCAUGGAGCUUUAAACUCAACAUCAACUGCUUUUACAAACAACCUAUUAACCCGGCAGUCCUGACAGUUAGUUUUCGGUUGGGGUGACCGCGGAGUAAAACAAAACCUCCACGAUGAACGGGACUAUCCCUAAUCCAAGAGCUACAGCUCUAAGAAUCUAUAAAUUGACAAAACUUGACCCAAAUACUUUUUGAUCAACGAACCAAGUUACCCUGGGGAUAACAGCGCAAUCCAUUUCAAGAGCCCAUAUCGACAAAUGGGUUUACGACCUCGAUGUUGGAUCAGGGUAUCCAAGUGGCGCAGCCGCUACUAACGGUUCG
rnacentral:rRNA from 1 species